AGUAGGAAGGACUCUGAACUCAGAG
rnacentral:misc_RNA from 1 species